UACGAAGGGGGCUAGCGUUGUUCGGAAUCACUGGGCGCAAAGCGCACGUAGGCUGAUCUUUAAGUCAGAGGUGAAAGCCUGGAGCUCAACUCCAGAACUGCCUUUGAUACUGGGGAUCUCGAGUCCGGGAGAGGUGAGUGGAACUGCGAGUGUAGAGGUGAAAUUCGUAGAUAUUCGCAAGAACACCAGUGGCGAAGGCGGCUCACUGGCCCGGUACUGACGCUGAGGUGCGAAAGCGUGGGGAGCAAACAGG
rnacentral:rRNA from 1 species